rnacentral:rRNA from 1 species
UACGAGGGGGGCGAGCGUUGUUCGGAAUUAUUGGGCGUAAAGGGCGCGUAGGCGGUGCGGUAAGUCACCUGUGAAACCUCUGGGCUUAACUCAGAGCCUGCAGGCGAAACUGCCGUGCUGGAGUGUGGGAGAGGUGCGUGGAAUUCCUGGUGUAGCGGUGAAAUGCGUAGAUAUUCGCAAGAACACCAGUGGCGAAGGCGGCUCACUGGCCCGAUACUGACGCUGAGGCACGAAAGCGUGGGGAGCAAACAGG